rnacentral:rRNA from 1 species
GAGUUUGAUCCUGGCUCAGGACGAACGCUGGCGGCGUGCUUAACACAUGCAUACCUUGCGACGAACCAGGGCUUGCCCUGGGCCCAACUCCCAAACGUCCGACUAACACGUGUGUAACGUGCCCCAAUGAUCGUUGACAACCCGGGGAAACCCGGGCUACUACCGAAUGUGCUUCCCUCACACCAUUGAGGCAUGGAAAGGAAACUUCGGCCUCCGAAUUGCUAUCGCCCCGCGGCCCAUUAUCUUGUUGUCGAGGUAACGGCUCACCAGGGCUGCUAUGGUUAGCUGGUCUGAGAGGACUAUCAGCCCCCCUGGCACUGAAACGCGGCCCAUACUCCUACCUGAGGCAACAGUGGGUAAUCUUGUGCAAUGCUCGAAAGCUUGACCCAGCAACGCCCCGUGGGGCAAGAAGGCCUUCCGGUUGUAAAGCCCUUUCAGGAGGGACGAAGGUUGGGCGGUUAAUAGCCGACCUGACUGACGGUACCUCCAGAAGAAGCCCCGGCUAACUACGUGCCAGUGACCGCGGUAAUACGUAGAAACCAAGCGUUGUCCGGAAUCAUUGGAUGUAAAGAGCGUGUAAGCGUUCUCGGUAAGUCGGCUGUGAAAGUCCAGUGCUCAACCCUGGGAUGCCGGUCGAUACUGCCGGAUUGAAGUUCAGACUAGCCGAGUGGAAUCCUGGUGUAGCGCUGAAAUGCGCAGAUAUCGGGAGGAACACCUAUGACGAGCAGCUCGCUGGGACGUUACUGACGCUGAGACGCGAAAGCGUGGGGAGCAAACAGGAUUAGAUACCCUGGUAGUCCACGCCGUAAACGAUGGGCACUAGGUGUGGGAGGUGUCGACUCCUCCCGUGCCGGAGCUAACGCAUUAAGUGCCCCGCCUGGGGAGUACGGCCGCAAGGCUAAAACUCAAAGGAAUUGACGGGGACCCGCACAAGCAGCGGAGCAUGUGGUUUAAUUCGACGCAACGCGAAGAACCUUACCUGGGUUUGACAUGUUCCUGACCGCCGUGGAAACACGGUUUCCCCUUGUGGGCAGGAUCACAGGUGGUGCAUGGCUGUCGUCAGCUCGUGUCGUGAGAUGUUGGGUUAAGUCCCGCAACGAGCGCAACCCCUGUCGCAUGUUGCCAGCAUUUAGUUGGGGACUCAUGCGAGACUGCCGGUGACAAACCGGAGGAAGGUGGGGAUGACGUCAAGUCAUCAUGCCCCUUAUGUCCAGGGCUACACACGUGCUACAUUGGCCGGUACAGAGGGCUGCGAUACCGCGAGGUGGAGCGAAUCCCAAAAAGCCGGUCUCGGUUCGGAUUGGAGGCUGAAACUCACCUCCAUGAAGGCGGAGUUGCUAGUAAUCCCGGAUCAGCAACGCCGGGGUGAAUACGUUCCCGGGUCUUGUACACACCGCCCGUCACACCACGAAAGCGGGCAACACCCGAAGCCGGUGACCCAACCCUCUGGGAGGGAGCCGUCGAAGGUGGGGCUCGUGAUUGGGGUGAAGUCGUAACAAGGUAGCCGUACCGGAAGGUGCGGCUGGAUCACCUCCUUUCU